GCUCCUGGAUAGCUCAGUUGGUUAAAGCGUGGUGCCGAUAACGCCAAGGUUGCAGGUGCGAUCCCCAUUCGGGACA